GGCGAGGUGGCCGAGUGGUUAAGGCGACAGACUAGAACAGACUGUCCGCAGUUACUUCUAACGCCAUCUGUUGGGUUCGCCCGCGUAGGUUCAAAUCCUGCCCUCGUCG